AGAAACAAGCGUAACUCUUACCCGAUCAUCCUUCUCUGAAAAACAACAAAUAAGGAAGAGUGAGUACUUACGUACCCAGCAGCCCACUUUCACCCAUGGAAUGGGAAAAUCAGAUAUAAUGCAUGGAGUAUGUGGAGAUCAGGAUAUUUUUUUGCAGAAAAAACAAAUUUUGAUGUAGGGCUAUUUUGUAAAGCAUUUUAUCAUUUCAAAGUGCAUCCGCUCCCAAAUGAGCAGAAAGUUUUUCAAUAUAGAACAAAAUCUCCUGAACUAAACCAUACAGGAAUCUCGUUAGUUUCCCACCGGUUUUCAUUUAAAAAACAACUACUGGACUUCCCGUCCACCAUAGCUCACGGCUCAACCGUUGGACCUUUUAAAACCAUUUUUCAAAAGUAUUUUUGGAAAACAGAACAAUAAUUGUCAAACCAAACCAUAACUCAUACAUAUCCGUGGACGCGGACUAUUCAAAUAAGUUUUUGAACUCAGCGCAGAAGUGUACACUUUACCCACUAGUCCGGUUCUGCGAUCUCAUGGCCAAUGAGACCUGAAUCUGAAACUCUUUCCUCCCUUGCACGACUUUACCUUAACAGUUAUACCGAAAGGAACAAGGCCACCUCCAUGUCCAAAACAGGACAAAACAUCCCCCCUCCUUGUUCUCCUGGUGCUCUCCAGCCACCAUAACCCUGGGGUGCAGACCGUGCAAGUUCGGAUCAAGCGACUACCCAUACAGUCUCGAGUGGUUGUACUUAUUAAGAGUAUAAGAAGUGAAGAAUGACAAACCGGUCCUUAUACGAGAGGGACAAUCCUUCAUGCUUACACCUAAUCUUGCUGAGCCAUCACCUUAAGGCCCUCCCAAACUAGGGAGUCCCUUAUCAUCCCGCUCAAAGGUGAUAAGGGUGAUAACCCUUCAUCAUACACAUUUUGAAAACAUUUUCUUUUGAAAAUCUCACACAUUUUCUCAAAUCAUUUUGUAACAAAAAAAUUUAAGAAGUAUAAAGAUGAAUUGCAGUAAAAUUCUAAGGUUGGGUGGCCAUAUUAACAUGUCUCUUAGCAACAAAAUCAUAUAAUACAUAAAAUAACAGACUGAAGGAUGCGUUUGAAAACAUAGGUAAUUUAUGCAUCAAAUGGAUCCAGUGAGCUUGCCGUGCUUUAACCGGUGAAAUGGUGAGAGCUCGCGAACUGGCCUUCACGAGACAGCAUGAACGCUCCGAUAACUACACAGCAAGGCCAAUCAAACAUACAAACCAACAAGUAUAUUAACAAAUGUUCAAUAUAGUGGUCAAUAAUGGUGAUAUAUGGAUGAGUAGAGUCUUGAGCAGAAUCUGUGUCAUGUGGUGUUGUGAUAUUACUGGUGGAGUGGUGGUGCUUACCAGAAGGGUGGAUUGGAGGCGAAGCGACACUUGACGUGUAGUCGGCAGAGCGGGGUAACUGAGUGAGUGGGGGUUUACCUUGGCUCAGGGUGUUGAGGGUGUGGAGAGGGAGAUUGUAACUAGGUGUAUUUAUAGCUGGGUACAUGUGGUUUAGUACGGUAGAGUUCACUGUUUAUGAGAAUAGUGGCGAAGGAAUUGUCUGACUCAGUUCAAAUAGGGAAAUUAUAAGCAAAAUAUAGGACAAGAGUAUUUUUGGAGUUUUCUGAAAUAUGAACUAUGCUUAAGGGUUGACAUGGUUGGAUAGAGGAUAUUUUGAUAAGAAUUUUAAAACAACAAUUGUCGAAAUAUGAGUUUGAACAGAGGAGUUUUGGAUUUUAUAAUCAUAGGAAAUAGAAAAAGAAAAGGAAAAAAGAAUAUUCCUAGAAUAUUCUAAAAUUUGAAUAUUUGGGGAUAUUUGUAAAAUCAUGUAUUUUUGAGCGGAGUGUCAGGAAUUAUUUCUGGGCUAUUCAUGAGCAGAGGUUUAUGUUGGUGGCAACUGUUGCUACCUACUGUAUAACAUGGGACAAUAGUAUGGCGGGACCCAGAUAGCUAGAAUAUUGUGAUAUUCUGGUCUGGGUGGGCUGUGGUAUCUUGGGUCAGGUUUUAUAGGAUUGACGACAUAUCCAUACAAACAUGGUUCACCUUUCUUUUUAGAAGCAUGGUUUGAAAGGACCUCAAAGUUAAGCGCGCUCAACUUGGAGCAAUUCUGGUAUGAGUGACUAACACUAACCGAAAAGUUCUUACUGGAAGGAAAAUCACAGUCACCAUAGUUUGUAUAACUGAGAUAUUGGUCUGGUAGGUCUUAGGUGAGCUGAUCAUCAUGAUGGAUGCAGUUGAAUAUUUAGGCGAUCGGAUGAACGAUGAAUAGUAGGAUGAAUGCUCUCAAACGAUUCUUCGUUACCUCCAAGGUUGUUUUGACACCCGUAGGUCUACCUCUGGUUACGCCGUUUUUCUUGUUGACAACCUCAUAUCUUGGUCAUCCAAGCGUCAUAACACAGUCUCCCGCUCCUGUGCUGAAGCAGAGUACCAUGCUGUUGCAAAUGGUGUUGCAGUGGCUUCUUGGUUGCGCCAGCUGCUUCUAGAACUGCACUCACCAUUGACUCACAGUUGCCUGUUUUAUUGUGACAACGUUAGUGCCAUCUACAUGUCAUCCAAUCCAGUUCAGCAUGAGCGCACAAAGCACAUUGAGAUUGAUCUGCACUUCGUUCGCGACAAGGUGGCCAUUGGUGAUGUCCGAGUUCUUCAUGUUCCAACGACGUCGCAGUUUGCUGAUAUUUUCAUUAAAGGCCUUCCUACUUCAGUUUUCUCCGAUUUUCGGUCCAGUCUCAACGUCUGUAGUAGCUAGAGUUGGGAGUGCGGGGGUGUUAGAAUACUUGUAUUAGGCCUUUGGUGUGAGUGGGGCUGGGUUGUCAUAUGCUUAUGCACAGACCCGGCCCAUGGAUGUUGCGCCAUCCCCUUUUAGGAGGGUUUCCCUGUGCUGCUUCCCUUCUAGGCGGCUUCCUUAUGUAGCCUUUCCUCCUGGAAGGUUUCCAUCUGGGAUCUUUCCUUCCCUAUUCACAACAGUCAUAGGGUUUCCUUCUCUUGUCUGCCUAUUUAUACUGGCCUUCUAAGGCUGUCAAUACAUCACAACAUUUAGCGACUCAUACACUUUCCAACAAUUUCUAAUACAUCCUCUGCUCUGUCA